GCAGACACAUUCCAGCCAAUCAGCAGCAGACCCUCCCUCCCAGACCCUUCCACCUCCUGGACAGCAUCCAUUUUACAUUCAUUGUGAAGCUGCAUUCUUAGUGAGCUGUCAAGGAGGUGGGAGGGUCUGGGAGGGAGGGUCUGCUGCUGAUUGGCUGGAAUGUGUCUG
rnacentral:miRNA from 1 species